rnacentral:miRNA from 1 species
UAAGGAUGACCCGGCCAAAGUUGAAGG